AGAGCGAACGCUGGCGGCAGGCCUAACACAUGCAAGUCGAGCGCCCCGCAAGGGGAGCGGCAGACGGGAGAGUAACACGUGGGAACGUACCCUUCAGUUCGGAACAACCCAGGGAAACUUGGGCUAAUACCGAAUACGUCCGUAAGGAGAAAGAUUUAUCGCUGAAGGAUCGGCCCGCGUCUGAUUAGCUAGUUGGUGAGGUAAUGGCUCACCAAGGCGACGAUCAGUAGCUGGUCUGAGAGGAUGAUCAGCCUCACUGGACUGAGACACGGCCCAGACCUCCUACGGGAGGCAGCGAGUGGGAAUAUUGGACAAGU
rnacentral:rRNA from 1 species